CUUUGUAUUUUUCCACAGCUUUCUUGAACUGCAUAUAUAUUAGAAAAUUCACACCAUAUAUAACCAAUUAUCAUUAUUGGAGGUGAAAAUAAAAAAAAAAAUUGUUGCGGUUCAAUAAAGUUGUGGGAAGAUACAGAUA
rnacentral:pre_miRNA from 1 species